rnacentral:lncRNA from 1 species
GCAAGACAGCCACACCUUGAACUCUGACUCAAAGAACAGAGUGGGCAGCUCACCAGAGAGGCCAGAGGAGGCGGCAGGAAGGUGAGGUCUCUCCAGCCAGGGGCUUCCUGAAAGAGCUGCCUUCUGAGCAGGCCCCCCAGGCUAGGAAGACGUGCACCUGCCGAGCUGGGCAGGAGAGGGUGGCCCAGUGGAGGACCCAGCAUGGGCAGAGGUUUGGAGGUGGCAGGUCCCGAGGGAAGUGGAGGGAAGCCAGGUUGUGACAGCCUGUGAAGACCUCUUGGCUCCCGGAAACUUCUCUCUCCUGGAAUAGAGAUGACACCGUGCUGUCAUUGAACUCAACCUGAAAAAAUGAUCUGUUGCAAAGCUCACAGGAAAUAACGGAGUAAUGUUACAUGAUAAAGUGUAAAGUGUGGUGAGCACAUGAACAAGUGUCCAGGACCCAGCGAAGCCCCAGUACUGGGCUAGGAGUCAGAUGAGAAGAGGCAGAGGACAACCUCCUGUAGGAUCUAAGGCCUCCAUGUGCUCAGCCCAUGGCUGUCGUCACGGUGAUGUGUGCAUGCGAUGUAUCUGGGCCGUCCUUGUUCUUGAACGCGGGCAGUGAGUCCCACGCUGAUGUGGCAUGUCACGAGCUGAAGGAGGGACACCUGCAUUCAGGCUUGUGAACCAGCUAGACAGCCUUUGGACCUUUUGGAGCCUCACUUUCCCACACUGAGAAUUGGAGUGG